GGCUCGGGCCAGGGACUUGGACGUCCCGAGGAGAAGCCGGGAUGACCCCACCGACGGCCUCACAGGACUGUCCUCAGCAUCAGAAGUGACCGUGAUCCUGAGACUCCCCAGCAGGGCCGGCCUCGGAGGCGACACAUCCUGAGCGCUUCCUUCCUCCCCCGCGAGCUGCGCUGACCAUGGCCCUGGCCAGAGCUCGGAGACGAGGGUGGAGGCUCCCGGGGAGCUCAGGCUCGUCACGUUUCAGCCCCUUUUUGAGUAAAAGGGAGAUACUACUACCUGCCUUCUAUUCACCUUUUCAAGGAUGUUGUCAGGAUUAACUGAAUGGGGCACAUUAAGCUCCUGUUUCCUCAGAGCGAGACAGCAGAAAACGUCAGAGAGAACAUGGGCGUCCACCCACUCGGAGUCACUCCCACACCCCGGGGACCCGCUCGGCCCCUCCGUGGCAGACAGUGCCCUUUCAGAUCAGCCCAGCAUCCUCGCCUGCACAGGGACCUUUCUCCCGUCGAUGCCUAAAGCACUUGUUAUCUGUCUGCUCUGAGAUCACUGCUGCUCACGGUGUUUCCUGCACAGUUAGCUCAGACCAAGUUCUCCAUGGUGAGCUCUUCCCGUAAAGAACCGGCGCCCCGGGCAGUGAGGGGCCUCCUGAGGGCGGCCCAGCCUGCGGUUGUUGAGGGUCACGGUGCUGUGUGUCCGGUCGGCGGUCCACACGUCAGGAGUGCAGGCAGCUCGCACGUCCCCAGUGCAAGACAGACUGAGGGGCGGGGGUGCGCCUCCCAACACCCUGACACUGCCUGCAACUGGGAGAGCCUCAGGGACCGGAGGGGGCAAGGUCAAGACCCUCUGCUGGCCAGAGCAGGUGCUGGGCCACAACAAGGCCAGGGCUUGGCGGCCCGCGGGAAGACCUCAGAAGCCGGCUCUGCAGAGGGGGAUGGGAACGGAUGAGACCGGUCCCAAUAGACUGAAGGGAGGGUGGGCCACCCAGGGACCAAGUCGGGAAGGACUGGACUUCUGACACCUGGACAUCGAGGUGACAGUUAAAGCUACGAGUGAGUGAUUCUACAAAGAAGUCGGCUUAAAACGAGAGCAAAUUAUCUGAAGUCUGAGCUUCUGGGGACACCCAGAGAUGAAGGUCCAGAGGGAAAAAAAACCAGCAGGUGAGGUGUUGAUCAGCUGACACACUCACUGGCUCCUGUGAGGCGCCCCCCAGCCCAGGUGUCAGGGGAGGACGCACAGAGAAUUUCGCUAGUGUCCUACA